CGGGGGGUGCGAGCGUUGUCCGGAAUCACUGGGCGUAAAGGGCGCGUAGGUGGUCUGAUAAGGGUGUGGUGAAAGCCCGGGGCUCAACCCCGGGUCGGCCGUGCCGACUGUUAGACUAGAGUGCUGUAGGGGCAGGCGGAAUUCCGGGUGUAGCGGUGGAAUGCGUAGAGAUCCGGAGGAAGACCGGUGGCGAAGGCGGCCUGCUGGGCAGAUACUGACACUGAGGCGCGACAGCGUGGGGAGCAAACAGGAUUAGAUACCCUGGUAGUCCACGCCGUAAACGAUGGGUACUAGGUGCCUGGGGGAGCGACCCCUUGGGUGCCGGCGCUAACGCAGGAAGUACCCCGCCUGGGGAGUACGACCGCAAGGUUG
rnacentral:rRNA from 1 species